UACAGAGGAGCCAAGCGUUGUCCGGAUUGACUGGGCGUAAAAGCGCACGCAGGCGGGGGGUGCACGUGGGGGUGUGAAAAUCUGGCCCGCUUAAACGGCCAGGCGCCAUCCCCAUACGGCACGCCUGGAGCCUUGCAGAGGUCGGUGGAAUUGCCGGUGUAGUGGUGAAAUGCGUAGAGAUCGGCAGGAACACCCAGGGGAAACCAGCCGACUGGGCAAGUGCUGACGCUGAGGUGCGAGAGCGUGGGGAGCGAACCGG
rnacentral:rRNA from 1 species